CAGAUGCUUGGCUGGGAAGACGCAGAGUCUGAAUCCAUGAAUAUGCUCGAUUUAAUGAAAAGGACACCCCUAGACUUCACAUGAGGCCCCACAAAUUGAUGUUGGCCUAAAAAAGCGUAGAAGCGAGGACACUUCUCUCUCCGCAGGACACCGGGCAAAUUGCACUGGGAAUGUCCUGCAGCGCGUCCACAGCCCCAAAAGAAAACACUCCACUCCGAGUUGUCAUUUGUUUCUUAUUGUAAUUUAUGUGCAGGCAGCGAUUUAUGAUUACAUUGUGAUUUAUAACGAAUAAAGGCUUCAGCUGCUGCCGCUCAAAACAUCCAAGGGUUGAGCAGCGGGAGGCUCGAAGGACUCUGCCAACUCUCA
rnacentral:sRNA from 1 species